rnacentral:rRNA from 1 species
GGAGGUAGUGACGUGAAAUAACGAUGCGGGACUCUUCCGAGGCCUCGCAAUCGGAAUGAGUUAACUUUAAAUCCUUUCGACGAGGAUCGAUUGGAGGGCAAGUCUGGUGCCAGCAGCCGCGGUAAUUCCAGCUCCAAUAGCGUAUAUUAAAGUUGCUGCGGUUAAAAAGCUCGUAGUUCAACUUCACGAUUCGAAAGGAGGUGAUAGCCGCCGUGAUAGUAGUAGUAGUAGUACUACUACUAAUAAAAAUCUCGAAUUAACCUUCUCAUUCGUCUCGUUACGGUAGGAGAAGUUGUAGUAGGGGGUUGUCGAAAGCUCGAAUAGGGUGAUGAAGACGGUACGAGUUGAUUUAAUGAUGGUGGUAACGGAGGCGGUCGAUGCUGCUGCUACUAUGGUGGUAGUACGCUAGUGGCAAACGACCGUAGCCGCUGCUGCCCCCGAUUUUACUAAUACUUCGUUCAUCGUCGAAUCCCUCUUCGUUGCUUGGGCUCCUCCACUUCCUUCUCUUCAACGUACGGACGGAAGGAGAAGGGCGAGAGAAGAAUAAAAUGGCACGCACGGCGUAAUAAAUCACUAGUCCAUUUCGAUAAAAACAUUGUCCGGCCGGCCAGCGGCGGAGUAGUAGUAGUAGUAGUAGUAGUAGUAGUAGUAGUAGCCUCACUGAAAUGGGUGGUUAUAAUUAAAUACUUCUUCCACCAUGGAUGGUGCUGCUGCUGCUGCUGCUGUUGCUGCUGCUGCUCGCGCGCUCGCGUUCGGUCGGCAACUUCACUUUGACAAAAUUAGAGUGCUCAGAGCGGGCAAGAUCUGAAGCCCGAAUGGAGGUGCAUAGAAUGAUCUAAGAUGACCUCGCGAUCUAAACGUUUGUCGGUUUAUGGGGUCGCGAGGUAAUGAUUAAA